rfam:Populus trichocarpa scaffold_11_contig_435, whole genome shotgun sequence.
UCUAGAACUCGAGAUAUAGGUUGAACACUAAACAAUGUCUGGGCUGCAGGACAGAUUCUGACUUCUCCGUUGUUGCUACCAUUUGAACUCGAAAAUGACACUUUUAAAUCUUUGACUCUUCAUAAAAGUUUUAGGCCUAUAUCUUAGCUUUCUAUA